rnacentral:rRNA from 1 species
UACGAAGGGGGCUAGCGUUGCUCGGAAUUACUGGGCGUAAAGGGUGCGUAGGCGGGUCUUUAAGUCAGAGGUGAAAUCCUGGAGCUCAACUCCAGAACUGCCUUUGAUACUGAGGAUCUUGAGUUCGGGAGAGGUGAGUGGAACUGCGAGUGUAGAGGUGAAAUUCGUAGAUAUUCGCAAGAACACCAGUGGCGAAGGCGGCUCACUGGCCCGAUACUAACGCUGAGGCACGAAAGCGUGGGGAGCAAACAGG